AGAGUUUGAUCCUGGCUCUGAACGAACGCUGAUGGCGUGCCUCAUACAUGCAAGUCGAGCGCCCCGCAAGGGGAGCGACGAACGGGUGAGUAACACGUGAACAAUCUGCCUCAAAGUGGGGGAUAACCAUUCCAACGGAUGGCUAAUACCGCAUAGGGUUCGGAGGGGGCAUCCCUUCCUUACGAAAGCUUCACGCGCUUUGAGAUGAGUUCGCGUCCCAUUAGCUAGUUGGCGGGGUAACGGCCCACCAAGGCAACGAUGGGUAGCCGGCCUGAGAGGGUGUCCGGCCACAUUGGGACUGAGAUACGGCCCAGACUCCUACGGGAGGCAGCAGUAGGGAAUUUUGCGCAAUGGGGGAAACCCUGACGCAGCAACGCCAUGUGUGGGAUGAAGCAUUUCGGAGUGUAAACCACUGUCGGCAGGGAAUAAAGUCCGCGCUUGCGCGGAGGUGAAUGUACCUGCAGAGGAAGCCCCGGCUAACUUCGUGCCAGCAGCCGCGGUA
rnacentral:rRNA from 1 species